AUCGAUGAUGGAUGCCGUGAGUUUGUGGAAAGAAGAGUCAUUCCAGGUUUGUUGAUUGAAGUCAAACAUGCUAAUAUAAUUGCUAUGUUUGAAUCUUAAUGUUUAUGUUGGACUUGAUGACAUUGACUGGCUUUGUGGUGAUUUUGGUCUUAUACAUUCGAAAGUUUGAGAAGUCACUGGAACCCGACCCGAUGAAGAGAAGAGCAACAACCUUUUUGAAACUGGAAAUAGCCAGCAGGGUUUCCAGAAUGCAAUGAAAGAAAUGGGCCGAGGACAGAUUGCAUUUAUCACCAGCCUUUGGAAAAAUUGUCACAACGGAAGUUGGUUUUGAUCGUGUUGCGUAAACUCAUCCCUAAUUAUUCUGUUAAUUUAUUUUGUAUACAUUGUAAUUAGGAAUUAGAUAAAAGAGGGUAGGAUUGUAAAUUGUAAAUUUUAUUUAAUAAUUUUAACAAUUUUAAUGUUUUGU